rnacentral:rRNA from 1 species
AAUCCUGGUUGAAGAUGGGUGGACCAUCAUCCAAGGCUAAAUACUACUUACUGACCGAUAGUGAACCAGUACCGUGAGGGAAAGGUGAAAAGAACCCCGGAGAGGGGAGUGAAAUAGAAUCUGAAACCGUUUGCGUACAAGCAGUGGGAGCAUGGUUUAGGCUGUGUGACUGCGUACCUUUUGUAUAAUGGGUCAGCGAGUUACUUUCAGUGGCGAGGUUAACUGAAUAAGGGAGCCGUAGAGAAAUCGAGUCUGAAUAGGGCGAUAGUCGCUGGGAGUAGACCCGAAACCGGGCGAUCUAGCCAUGUGCAGGAUGAAGGUUGGGUAACACCAACUGGAGGUCCGAACCGGGUAAUGUUGAAAAAUUAUCGGAUGACGUGUGGCUAGGAGUGAAAGGCUAAUCAAGCCCGGAGAUAGCUGGUUCUCCCCGAAAGCUAUUUAGGUAGCGCCUCGUGAAUGAUUACUGGGGGUAGAGCACUGUUUCGGCUAGGGGGCUGUCAUGGCUUACCAAACC